GGCUGACCCCCCCACCUCCCUCCCGGACGGGGCGGCUGGCCUGGCGGGGGCUGACCCCCACCUCCCUCCCGGAUGGGGUGGCUGCCGGGCGGAGGGGCUCCUCACUUCUCAUAUGGGGCAGUUGCCAGGCGGAGGGUCUCCUCACUUCUCAGACGGGGCGGCUGGGCAGAGACGCUCCUCACCUCCCAGACGGGGUCGCGGCCGGGUAGAGGCGCUCCUCACAUCCCAGACGGGGCGGCGGGGCAGAGGCGCUCCCCACAUCUCAGACGAUGGGCGGCCGGGCAGAGACGCUCCUCACUUCCUAGAUGGGAUGGCGGCCGGGAAGAGGCGCUCCUCACUUCCUAGAUGGGAUGGCGGCCGGGCAGAGACGCUCCUCACUUUCCAGACUGGGUAGCCAGGCAGAGGGGCUCCUCACAUCCCAGACGAUGGGCGGCCAGGCAGAGACGCUCCUCACUUCCCAGACGGGGUGGCGGCCGGGCAGAGGCUGCAAUCUUGGCACUUUGGGAGGCCAAGGCAGGCGGCUGGGAGGUGGAGGUUGUAGCGAGCCGAGAUCACGCCACUGCACUCCAGCCUGGGCACCAUUGAGCACUGAGUGAACCAGACUCCAUCUGCAAUCCCGGCACCUCGGGAGGCCGAGGCUGGCGGAUCACUCGCAGUUAGGAGCUGGAGACCAGCCCGGCCAACACAGCGAAACCCCGUCUCCACCAAAAAAAUACGAAAACCAGUCAGGCAUGGUGGCGCGCGCCUGCAAUCGCAGGCACUCGGCAGGCUGAGGCAGGAGAAUCAGGCAGGGAGGCUGCAGUGAGCCGAGAUGGCAGCAGUACAGUCCAGCUUCGGCUCGGCAUCAGUGGGAGACCGUGGAAAGAGAGGGAGAGGGAGACCGUGGGGAGAGGGAGACCGUGGGGAGAGGGAGAGGGAGAGGGAGAGGGCUUUUGACCAUUUUUAAACAGGGUUAUUUGUUUUCUUACUAUUAAGUUGAGUUCCUUUUAUAUUUUAGAUAUUAAACCUUUGUUGGAUGUAUACUUUGCAAAUAUAAUAUUUUCUCCCAUUCUAUAGGUUGUCGCUUCACUAUCGGUUGUUUCCUUUGCUGUGCAGAAGCUUUUUAGUUUGAUGUAGUUUGAUUUGCCCAUUGUUUGCUUUUGUUGCCUGUGCUUUUGAAGUCUUGUUCAUAAACUUCUUGCCCAUAUAAAUGUAAUGAAGCAUUUCUCCUGUGUUUCCUCUAGCAGUUUCAUAGUUUCAGGUCUUAAAUCUAUGUCUUUAAUUCAUCUUGAGUUGAUUUGUGUAUAUGGUGGGAGAUAAGGGUUUAAUUCAUUCUUCUGCAUGUGGAUUUUCAGUUUUCCCAGCAUCGUUUAUUGAAAGACUGUACUUUCUUUUCAAUAAAUGUGUGUUCUUGGUGCCUUUGUUGAAUAUCAGUUGGCUGUAAAUGUGUGGAUUUAUUCCUGGGUUCUCUGUUCCAUUGAUCUAUCUGUUUUUAUACCAGUACCAUGCUGUUUUUAUAACUUUAGUUUUAUGGCAUAUUUUGAAGUCAGGUAUUAUGAUGCCUCCAGCUUUGUUCUUUUUGCUCAAGAUUGCUUUGGCUAUUCAAGGUCUUUUGUGGUUACAUACGAAUUUUAGGAUUUUUUUUUCUAUCUGUGAAGAAUGUCAUUGGUAUUUUGAUAGGAAUUGCACUGAAUCUGCAGAUUGCUUUGGACGGUAUGAACAUUUAAGAAAUAAUUCUUUCAAUCCAUGAACACAGGAUAACUUUCCAUUUAUUUGUGUCUUCAGUUUCUUUCAUCAGUGUUUUAUAGUUUUCAUCCUAGAGAUUUUUCACCAUGGUUAAGUUUAUUUCUAGAUAUAUAUAUAUAUAUUUUUUUUUAAUUGUAUUGUAAAUGGGAUUUUCUUGAUUUCUUUUUCAUAUAGUUCACCAUUAAUGUAUAGAAAUGAUACUGGUUUAUGGCUGUAAUCCCAGCACUUUGGGAGGCCAAGGCAGGUGAGUUGCUUGAGCUCGCGAGUUUGCCACCAGCCUGAGCAACAUGGCAAAACCCUUUCUCUACAAAAAAUACAAAAGUUAGCCAGGUGUGGUGGUCCCAACUACUUGGGAGGCUGAGGUGGGAGGAUUGGUUGAGCCCAGGGAGUUGAGGCUGCAGUGAGCUGUGAUUGCAACACUGCACUUCAGCGUGGGCAACAGAGUGAGAUCUUGUCUCAAAAAAAAGAAAUAAUACUAGUUUUUGUUUGUAGAUUUUGUAUCCUGAAACUUUACUGAAUGUUUUUUAGUUCGAACAGUUUUUUUGGUGGAGUCUUUAGGAUUUUCUCUACUUAUGAUCGUGUCAUCUGUAAACAGAGACAGUUAACUUCCUCCUUUCCGAUUUAGAUGCCUUUUCUUUCUCUUGCCUAAUUGCCUAAUUACAGCAUGUUCCUAUUCUGUAAAUGUUCAAUGAACUAGAGAAUGAUUCUUGGGUAGUUAAUAUUGUCAAUGUUGAUGAACUCUUUUCCUUCGCUGAAAGCAGCUACUUUGUUGGAGGUUUCAAUUCUGCGUGGCAAUUUGCAGCAUUUCUAGUGGUACUGCUCCACAUUUUACAGCUUUAUGAAGAAGGUGUUUACUUUUUUUGAAAUUACCUUGAGACAUUUCAAACUGUGCAGAAGAUAUAUGCACAAAAGCAAAUGUCUUGCAGUUUGCUAUAGCCACUUAUACAUCAUCUGGCUCUUGAAUAGCUUUAAUUCAGCUGUUGAAUCUCACUUGAAUUUGAGCAAAACCUUCAUCUUUAUAUGUAUCUGGACAAAUUACUUCAAUUGCUUGACAGUAAUGACCAAUCAAUUUAUUUAAAAUAGUAUCAUUUAGUAGGACAGUGUUUUUCUCUGGUUUGAGCAACGAAUUCAACCAGUCCUCUGGGUUGAUCAUCAUCAUCAUCAUCAUUUGGUUAUCAGUUCCUGAGUUAUUUUUACCAGGGAGUUUUAUACCUUUAGACAGCUAUUUUGAAUUAUCUCAGGAAUGUCAUAUAUCUCUGCCUCUUUAGAGUCAGUCACUGGCACUUUGUCUGUUUGGUGACAUCAUGUUUCCCUGACUGUUCUUCAUCUUUGUAGUUAUACAUUGAUAUCUGUGCAUUGAAUAUGUAGGUAUUUAUAAACAGUCUUUGCAAUCUGGCUUUGUCUGUGAUUGUCCUUGUAUAGUAGGUCUGUCCAGAAAUUGUAAGCAUACUGUCUUUUUUGGUCUUUAAGCCCGUGAACGCUACAGCCCGUGUAGUGCCAAAUGGUGCCCUAAGCCCAGGUUCCCUGCAGUCCACUCUGUGAUUUGUUUGUUGACUGCUGUGAGCCCCACCCCCAUUCUUUGUUUCUAAUUUACACCUAGCAGGCUAACCCUGCUGGCACCUGCAGUGCUUCCAGGGGGAAAGGACCAUAGUGUGCCCCUGUGAAGAGUCUCAGAAUGGUGCGGAAGGUGAAUGCCCACCUCCCGCUCUCUUUUCCCACUGUAGAAACUGAUUCCAGAGAAAUUCUCCAAGUGCGGUGCUAUGUGGGCUUGCGGGAGAGGUGUUAUGAUCAAACAGAACCAUUCUCUUUACCCUCUGUUCAUGGUUUUUCUUGGCUCUGUGGUCCAGUGAGUUGUCACAGCUUCACUCCCAAUUUCUGGGAUAUUCAGGGCAAUAAUCUUGCCACUGGGUAUUUGCUAGUUGAAAUUAUGUGGUAGGGAGAGAAGCCAGUAAGCUUCACUUCUCCGUUUGGCUGAUGUCACUCUCGAAUUCUGUACUUUCAUACGGAUUGUAAUAGGGAGGGUCUAAAAGGAAGCUUCAGUUUUGGAUUUUUAGAGCUUCUUCUAAGUACAAUUGUUGAAUCAAGAGGUAAAAAUGGUAUGUUAUAACUGGAAAUACGCUGAGAUUAAAAAGGAGAUAAAUUAGCCCCAUUGGGACAGUGCUAUUGGGAAUGUGAAUUGAUACCACUUUCCUGGAGUCUAGUUUAGUAUUUAUUUUAUAUGUAAUGCCUGAAAAGAUGUGUGUCUCCUUUGACUCAAUACUUAUAGGAAUUUACACAAAGGUUAUAAUCAAAGAUUAUAGAACUGUUAUACUGGAAAAACACGAAAUAUUCUAAUUAUGAAUUAAUUGGGGAUUGGUUAAAUAAACUAUGGUUUGAUAUGCUCUAAAAAUAAUGUUACAGAAAAAAGUGUACUGAUAUGGCAAAAUGUAUGACUUAUAGUUAAAAAAGCAGGUUAGAUGUUGAUAGAUACAGUAUGAUAGAAAAAGAUCAGGAAGGUAUAUGCUGACAUUUAAAUCUGGAUAUUUAUGAGUGUUUUUUUUAUUUCAAUCUUUGUACAUGCAUGUAUUUUCUAGAAAUUGUAUUACUAUCUUUGUAAUAAAGUAAAUUAUUUUUAAGGGACUAAAUAAUAAAUAUUUGUUACUUGAGUGCCUUACACAUUCACUCGGCAAUUACAGUUUCCCGAACAUUGGACUUCAGACUCUUUUCACAGCACAUCCUUAUUUUCAUAAAUAGAAAAUUAAACUUUUUAUUUGUCAUUUUGAUGUUAUGCCAGGUUUAGAAUACUGGAGUCUCGAUCAAUAAGGUGGCACCACAUUGCAGAAUCAUCUCUUUUUACCAUGGGCCCAACAUGGAUGAGGAUCAAUCAGUGUCUGUAACAGUCUUUGCAGUGAGGGCAGAGUGACCAGUUAUUAAGUUGUAGGCUAAAAGAUCCUGGGAGAGACCAGCCACGCACAGGACUUCACAAAUCACUGGACAGUAAGGAAGAUGACCCUGUGGGUAGCACGAGAAAAUGUAGCCGCCUUCCUGGAAUCUAGUUCCUAUUCGCCUGUAGCACCAAAUGAACCAAUCUUACAACCAUAACCAGCAUAUGUAGCUUGGAAAGAUGCUGAAUUCCACACCCUAAGAUCUGGGAAUG
rnacentral:lncRNA from 1 species